rnacentral:rRNA from 1 species
UGACCUCGGAUCAGGUAGGGAUACCCGCUGAACUUAAGCAUAUCAAUAAGCGGAGGAAAAGAAACCAACAGGGAUUUCCCCAGUAUCGGCGAGUGAAGCGGCAAGAGCUCAAAUUUGAAAGCUGGCCCCCUCGGGGUCAGCAUUGUAAUUUGCAGAGGAUGCUUCGGGAGCGGUCCCCGUCUAAGUGCCCUGGAACGGGCCGUCAUAGAGGGUGAGAAUCCCGUAUGGGACGGGGUGUCCGCGCCCGUGUGAAGCUCCUUCGACGAGUCGAGUUGUUUGGGAAUGCAGCUCUAAAUGGGUGGUAAAUUUCAUCUAAAGCUAAAUAUUGGCCGGAGACCGAUAGCGCACAAGUAGAGUGAUCGAAAGAUGAAAAGCACUUUGAAAAGAGAGUUAAAAAGCACGUGAAAUUGUUGAAAGGGAAGCGCUUGCGACCAGACUCGCCCGCGGGGUUCAGCCGGCAUUCGUGCCGGUGUACUUCCCCGCGGGCGGGCCAGCGUCGGUUUGGGCGGCCGGUCAAAGGCCCUCGGAAUGUAACGCCUCUCGGGGCGUCUUAUAGCCGAGGGUGCCAUGCGGCCUGCCCGGACCGAGGAACGCGCUUCGGCUCGGACGCUGGCAUAAUGGUCGUAAGCGACC